rnacentral:rRNA from 1 species
AUCUUUCACAAUGGGCGAAAGCCUGAUGGAGCAACGCCGCGUGCAGGAUGAAGGCCUUCGGGUUGUAAACUGCUUUUAUAAGCGAGAAAUAUGAUGGUAACUUAUGAAUAAGGAUCGGCUAACUACGUGCCAGCAGCCGCGGUCAUACGUAGGAUCCGAGCAUUAUCCGGAGUGACUGGGUGUAAAGAGUUGCGUAGGUGGCAUAAUAAGUAGCUAGUGAAAUCUGGUGGCUCAACCAUUCAGACUAUUAGCUAAACUGUUAAGCUCGAGACCGUUAGGGGUAACUGGAAUUUCUAGUGUAGGAGUGAAAUCCGUAGAUAUUAGAAGGAACACCAAUAGCGUAGGCAGGUUGCUGGGACGGUUCUGACACUAAGGCACGAAAGCGUAGGGAGCAAACGGG